rnacentral:rRNA from 1 species
UCCGACUUCAUGGGGUCGAGUUGCAGACCCCAAUCCGAACUGAGACCGGCUUUUUGGGAUUCGCUCCACCUUACGGUAUCGCAGCCCUCUGUACCGGCCAUUGUAGCAUGCGUGAAGCCCAAGACAUAAGGGGCAUGAUGAUUUGACGUCAUCCCCACCUUCCUCCGAGUUGACCCCGGCAGUCUCCCAUGAGUCCCCGGCAUAACCCGCUGGCAACAUAGGACGAGGGUUGCGCUCGUUGCGGGACUUAACCCAACAUCUCACGACACGAGCUGACGACAACCAUGCACCACCUGUGUACGAGUGUCCAAAGAGAACCCCGUCUCGGGGGCUUUCUCGUACAUGUCAAGCCUUGGUAAGGUUCUUCGCGUUGCAUCGAAUUAAUCCGCAUGCUCCGCCGCUUGUGCGGGCCCCCGUCAAUUCCUUUGAGUUUUAGCCUUGCGGCCGUACUCCCCAGGCGGGGCACUUAAUGCGUUAGCUGCGGCACGGAACUCGUGGAAUGAGCCCCACACCUAGUGCCCAACGUUUACGGCAUGGACUACCAGGGUAUCUAAUCCUGUUCGCUCCCCAUGCUUUCGCUCCUCAGCGUCAGUUGCGGCCCAGAGACCUGCCUUCGCCAUCGGCGUUCCUCCUGAUAUCUGCGCAUUCCACCGCUACACCAGGAAUUCCAGUCUCCCCUACCGCACUCUAGUCUGCCCGUACCCGAUGCAAGCCCGAGGUUGAGCCUCGGGAUUUCACACCAGACGCGACAGACCGCCUACGAGCUCUUUACGCCCAAUAAUUCCGGACAACGCUUGCGCCCUACGUAUUACCGCGGCUGCUGGCACGUAGUUAGCCGGCGCUUCUUCUGCAGGUACCGUCACUUGCGCUUCUUCCCUGCUGAAAGAGGUUUACAACCCGAAGGCCGUCAUCCCUCACGCGGCGUCGCUGCAUCAGGCUUGCGCCCAUUGUGCAAUAUUCCCCACUGCUGCCUCCCGUAGGAGUCUGGGCCGUGUCUCAGUCCCAGUGUGGCCGGUCGCCCUCUCAGGCCGGCUACCCGUCGACGCCUUGGUAGGCCAUCACCCCACCAACAAGCUGAUAGGCCGCGAGCCCAUCCCCCACCGAAAAACUUUCCAACCCACACCAUGCGAUGCGAGCUCAUAUCCGGUAUUAGACCCCGUUUCCAAGGCUUAUCCCGAAGUGGAGGGCAGGUUGCUCACGUGUUACUCACCCGUUCGCCACUGAUCCACCCAGCAAGCUGGGCU